UCCGGUGUAGUUGCGCAACAGUCUCGUCACGUUGGUUAUCGUAUACGCGUACACGUGUUGCUGGUGAUGCCGACGACUCUCUUGCGCUGUAGUCCUUAACGUCGUCGUCGUGGUCGUCGUCGUCGUCGGCAUCAGCGUCGUCGUCGUCGUCGUCGGCAUCAGCGUUGUCGUCGAAAAGUCUUUGACCGACGACUCGAUGUUGUAAGGUUCUGUCACGACGAUUCUUAAUGUCGUCGAACUUACCGUACUCUCAUCGAUGCUAUUACUCUCGCGAGACUUCUUAUCGUCCUUCGAUAAACGGUACUCGGUAACAUCAUCGUUUUCGACUUUUUCUUCGGCAUCUUCCAUCUUUUUGCUCCUUCGAAAACUACCUCUUGACACUUUCAUCUUCUGAACACCGUUCUCAUCCCUCCGCUCCACUGUUUGCUCUUCGAGCUCUGUCGUAUUUCCAUUCUGUGUCAUGUCCUUGCUAGGGAUCACGUUCGUGGCAAUUGUCGAAUCAGACAAUCUCGUUUUCCUGUAAUACAAAUUCGGCACGUCUCGCAACGUGUUCUUCGUUGUCUUAGAUACUUUGUUCUUCUCGAUCAUGCGUCUUUCCAAAGCAACGUUGGUCUCCUCCUUCGAGAUUUCUUCAGGUCGAAUCGUCGUUGUCGUUCCUGUUGCCGUUGCUGUUGCCGUUGUCGUUGUCGUUGUCAUUGUCGUUGUCGCUGUCGUUGUCGUUGUCGUUGUCGUUGUCGACGUCGUAAGCGGUGACAAGCUGGUUCUCUUGCUAGAAUUUCUCCUUCUCAAGGUUGUUGGAGUAACUGAGACAAGUUCGUUCGAAUCGUUACCAACUGUCGUUACGUUCUGCAGUUCAGGUUGUAGUUUCUGACCGAAAUAAAGGAACUGCGACAUGUCCUCCAUAGGAAUGUUACUUUCGACGGGUCUAAAGUGUUUGUAAAGGGAAUCCGGCAUUGAAACGAUGUUUUUUUUACGAACAUUAUCAGUCUCCAAGGACUUGGGGACGCUCGUUACUGGCGCCAUCGUCAUCGUGGACUCUAUGUCCUCUCGUUCGCUCAUCAAUGUCGUUAAGUUCUCUUCCAUCGUUACUUUGAACGUUUUCUUGUCAGCAUCGUCGGUACCGUUCUUCGCCAUAGAAACACUAGCAUACACUCCUUCGUUCUUCGUCUCCUGUGCUUCCAGGAUAUCUGGUGGAUCCCUUGGAGUGACGUCGAUGAGACGGCCGUUUCGUUGCCUCGACAUCCGUCGUCUUCGAGCUGCAAGAAUGUUUCGCAAUACCUGUUCCCUCUUAGCUUUCGACGAGAGUACUUCAACGGAGGGUAUCUCGGUGCUCGAGGAUACUAGACCUUGAAAUUUUUCUUCCUUCUCUGUUGUUUCUGCGAACAAAUAAAUGAAAAUUAAUAAACCACCGGUUACAGGAAUAAGUAAGUAAUUGAAAAAAAGGCGAUUGCGUUUACUCGAGUCUAAAGAACGCGAACGUUUAUUAUCCGCAAAAAGCGUUCCUUUCAUUUUCCCGUCGUCGUGUGUCUUGAAUAAUGCAGGCCACCCCCCGUUAUCUCUAUCGUAAUCGAGAAUCAUCAACUGACCUUGAAACGGAGACGCACGGUAUCAUCGUUGUUGGACGAAAUUCUAGUGGCAUUACUACGUUGAGAGAUUGUUUCUUUUAUUCUUUUCGUGACGUUAAACAAGAAGCACGAGGAUAGAGAAAAAGAGAGAGAGAGAGAGAGAGAGAGAGAAAACAAGAAGAGAAGGAAAGAAAGAGAAAGAGAAAGACAGAAAAAGGGAAUAUAGCUAAGAAUGCCGUCGUAUAUGUUGGCGUUGGAAGGAGGCUACGAAGUCGUGGGUUAUCGCCACGAACGUGACCGCAUAAAGGAUCGUAAUAUUUUAUGUGAACACGUGUAUGAGGAAGGUAUAACCGGUGAAGCUUGUACACCGGUUUGAGCGCGCAUGGCAUCGAGAUAGUAUUCGAUAUCGACCGAGAGAAAGGAAAGGAUGACUUUCUGGCAGAGACCUGGCCGUUGGAUUACGCUGAAACGCACGUUCAAGGUUAUCCUCAAGAUCACGGUCACGUCGCCGAUACUCUGGACGAUCGCCAUCAGUCAUUGAACGAUUCUCAAGAACACCUAUCUACCUAUCUAUUUACUAGAUUCGAGACCGGUUUUUGAGGAAGCGACUAAAGUGGCACGGACCGGUAAAGUUCAUUGCCAUUUCGAGCACCAUUUAUUCCCACUUUUAGCACCUAACGUAUGGGUGUAUAAGUAAGUACAUAAGUAUCCACAUUGUAUAUAUAUAUAUAUAUAUUUACGUGUGUAUGUGUGUAGUGUGUGUUUUUAUAUACGUAAACGGUACACGCGAUUUCAGUCUUUGAAAGAAUAAUUGAGUCUGUCCGGAAUUGUUACGAGAAUUCCUACAAAGAAAUUACCGCUACGAUCAGUUGAUCAGUAUCGACAUAUCAAAGAAUAAAGAAGAAAUACUAUUAAUCAUUCUUUGAUAAUUUUUGAACUUCAUUUGGAUGAAGUAAUAAUAACAAUUCAUAACGAACUAUUAUAAUAUUUUU